UACAUGGGGUGCAAACGUUGUUCGGAAUUACUGGGCGUAAAGGGUUCGUAGGUGGCCAACUUAGUCAGACGUGAAAUCCCUCAGCUUAACUGGGGAACUGCGUCUGAUACUGGAUGGCUCGAGUGCAGGAGAGGAACGCGGAAUUCCAGGUGUAGCGGUGAAAUGCGUAGAUAUCUGGAGGAACACCGGUGGCGAAGGCGGCGUUCUGGACUGCAACUGACACUGAGGAACGAAAGCCAGGGGAGCAAACGGG
rnacentral:rRNA from 1 species